UGUAAGUCCAAAAAUAUGUUGGAUUAUAGUUACUAAUUAUUAAUACACACUUACAGAGGAAUUAGUCCCGUACAUGUGCCAAUAAUUGGAAAUCACUCUUAGAAAUUGAUGAGCUAUGUGAGGCUUCUUGCUUUGAUGAUCUUGUUGUGCUACAGCUUAAAUAAAUCAAAACUCUUGAAUGACAGAUUUGGAUGAAGCUCCUUUGGCAGUCUUACAAAUGAAAACUCAUUUUACAUUUCUUAUUUUUUCUUUGAAAGGGAACAACAUAUAAUAAUAUAAUUUGUUUCCCAAAUUUACUUCAUUUCAAUCUUCUCAGUUUAGCUGGCAUCGUUUUUGCUCAUUAAUGAUUCUCCAAUUACACGCUCUUUUGUCUCUCUUGUUUUGUUAUCUAUUUUUCAAGAUGAAUUUAUCUUAUAUCCUAUUUUCAUAUCUCUAUUUCCUUGUGCAUUUUGUCCAGGUGUUGAGUGUGGAUUUAGAUCUUUGGUUAUGGUCUAUUGGCAUCCAACGCCCGUCUCUCCAACAUCAUCGGACUCUUUCUAUAUACUAUUGAGGAGUUAUCUAAAGAUCGGGAAUUCAGUAGAGAAGUGAGCAGCAGUGGCAAUGUUUCUUUGUUGAAAUCAAAAUCAGGAUCUUCUGGAUUUUAGGAUGGCCAUCAAUCCUGGACCCCCCAUCAUGAGUAGAGAGGAAUUUGAAACUCGGAAAGCUGAUCUAUGGAGGAAGCGUGCAACAGAAUCUGUUACUGCAAAGGUACUAUCAAUAGGCAUCAUUCCUUAUUAUCUAUUAAUAAGGAAUCUUUAGUAAUUGCUGCAAUUUCUUCAUUACAUUACAUACAAGUUAGUAAGAUUUUAUAUUUUCAAUAGUACACUAUUUUUUUGUGAAACAUUUGGAGUAGAACUAGAAUAAGACACAUGCAACAUACUAGAAAAUUUGUAGUGGUGGUCGGACCCCAGUACUUCAGGGCUACUGGAAAUUCAAGUUGAGCUACGUGCACUUAAAACUCGGCCCCCAAAAUCAAGUUUGGGCCCAACUUUGACUCUGCUCAACUGGGCCUCGACGUUAGGGCGAAAAGUGUGAGCUGAAGAGGAAGGCUUUUAAUUGACAGUCCAAGUAUAAUUUGACUCUGUUGAGUUUUCAGAAAUUAUUUCUGAUUUUUUUUUCAAAAAAUUACAAAUUAAUUUGACAAAAAUGAAAACUAAAAAAAUUAGUUUUGAAUUUUCUAAAUUUAUUUCAUACCAAAAAGAGAAUAUAUAGUGUAAUUAAUCCUAAUUUUUAUUUAUUGAAUUGUAAUUAUAUGAGGUUGCAAUGGAAACUCAUCUAUCAUCUAUUUUUCUCUCCUCCUUCCUU